rnacentral:rRNA from 1 species
AUGGGCAACUGCCAGGCGGCCGAGGCGGCGGAGGUCAUCAUCCAGCACCCCGGCGGCAAGGUGGAGCGCCUCUACUGGCCCACCCCGGCCGCCGAGGUCAUGAAGACCAACCCCGGCCACUACGUCGCGCUCGUCAUCCUCCGCCUCUCCCCCGACGACAAGGCGGCCGCGGGGGACGAGGCCGCGGCGGCGGCCGCCGUCGCAGGCGCCGGCGCCGCAGCGAAGAUCACCCGGGUCAAGCUCCUCAAGCCCAAGGACGUGCUCCACCUCGGCCAGGUCUACCGCCUCAUCACCGCGCAAGAGGUGACCAAGGCGCUGCGGGCGAGGAAGGACGACAAGAUGCGGCGGUGCGAGGCCAUCAAGCAGCAGCACGACCAGCUCCGGCGCGGCGACGGGGCGGAGCAGGGCGCCUCGGACAAGGACGCGAACGCGAACGCGAAGCAGCGGGUGGAGAAGGACCGGCACCGGGGCUCCGGCGGCGCGCAGCCGGCCGGUGGCGGCAGAGGCCGGCACUGGCGGCCGUCCCUGCAGAGCAUCUCCGAAGCCGCGGCGGGGCAGAGCAGCAGUAGCAUCUCUGAAUCCACUGCGAGCUAA